rnacentral:rRNA from 1 species
UUGCUCCUGGAUUCAGCGGCGGACGGGUGAGUAAUGCCUAGGAAUCUGCCUGGUAGUGGGGGAUAACGUCCGGAAACGGGCGCUAAUACCGCAUACGUCCUGAGGGAGAAAGUGGGGGAUCUUCGGACCUCACGCUAUCAGAUGAGCCUAGGUCGGAUUAGCUAGUUGGUGGGGUAAAGGCCUACCAAGGCGACGAUCCGUAACUGGUCUGAGAGGAUGAUCAGUCACACUGGAACUGAGACACGGUCCAGACUCCUACGGGAGGCAGCAGUGGGGAAUAUUGGACAAUGGGCGAAAGCCUGAUCCAGCCAUGCCGCGUGUGUGAAGAAGGUCUUCGGAUUGUAAAGCACUUUAAGUUGGGAGGAAGGGCAGUAAGUUAAUACCUUGCUGUUUUGACGUUACCUACAGAAUAAGCACCGGCUAACUUCGUGCCAGCAGCCGCGGUAAUACGAAGGGUGCAAGCGUUAAUCGGAAUUACUGGGCGUAAAGCGCGCGUAGGUGGUUCAGCAAGUUGGAUGUGAAAUCCCCGGGCUCAACCUGGGAACUGCAUCCAAAACUACUGAGCUAGAGUACGGUAGAGGGUGGUGGAAUUUCCUGUGUAGCGGUGAAAUGCGUAGAUAUAGGAAGGAACACCAGUGGCGAAGGCGACCACCUGGACUGAUACUGACACUGAGGUGCGAAAGCGUGGGGAGCAAACAGGAUUAGAUAUCCUGGUAGUCCACGCCGUAAACGAUGUCGACUAGCCGUUGGGAUCCUUGAGAUCUUAGUGGCGCAGC